UGGAAACUAAACAAAUCGCAGUUGGUGGUGUUUCUGCUUCUGCACUAGUAUGCAAAGCUAACUCCACAGCUUCCAAUUCGAUUAUCAACGGCUCGUUGUUGAUUAACUUAUCAAGAAAUUCUCCAACACAGUCUCCAGCUAUAGGUUUUUUAUUAUGCUGUGAUGUUUCUCAGUUUCUGGCUAUAAAGCUUUCACUGUACCACAUUGGUUGUUUGGAAGCUGGGGUAGCUCUUUAUAUUGUUCCAUGGGCUGACGAGAGUUCGCCGAGUUCAGUAGCGAGAACUUGUCAUCCAAGUGGAGGCAUUAAAGUUAUGGGACGAUGGUCAUUUCACAUGGCUGGGCUUUGGUUCUGGUUUAACUCUGGCCCGCCCGCUCCAAGCCUGAAGUUGGACCUGGGUGUUUCAGUGAAGACUGAUGCGACCUGGUCCGUAGAGUAGAGGGCAAAGCGUGAGGCUGGUUUCACAGAGCAGCGAAGACCUCUCGCUUCCGGCAGUGGAAGGAUUACGGGCCCGUGCCAGCCAAGUCCAUAUAGCCAGAUGGGCUCUCCAAUCUGGACCACAACUUUUAAAAAAAUCAUACAUUUUUUCACAAUAAUUAUCGUUUUUCUCAUCUAAACCGUCAAAUUGUAGUAAGCUAUAAAAAUACAUAAAAAUCCAACUCAAGAUUAAUAUUAUCAACAAUCUCGUUGAUAUCUUCAACAACUUCCUCGUCUAAACUGCAAAAUCGCUCCUUUUAAAUAUGUUCAAGAAUUAAUCUUCAUUUUAAUUUAUCAAGUUGAUAAUUGAAUUAUUUUCAUUAUACAUUCUUAAAAACCAACGAAAAUCAUUUAUCAAAUUUACGAUAUAAUCUGAAAAAUAGCAUGUUUCACAACUCUAAUAAAUCCACACUGGACAAAUUAAUGAAAUAAUUUUCGUCACCAACAUCACAUAAUAAAUUAUUAAUCUGUAUUCCUCAUUUGAUCAUCUACAUUUUAAGAGAAAAAUAAUCAAACAUAAUCUCUCGAUAUAUAAAAAAAAAAUUAAAAAUAGGGGAGGGUUCAAACGCUCUUUAUUAACAUAAAAUAAAAUAAAAUAAAUAUUAUAAAAAAUUCAUUCAUGAAUUAAAUUCAAAACAUCUAAUCUACCAUGCACAAUUUUAUCAUUAGAAGUUCGGUUCUAGAAGAUAUCACCAAAAUAUAAUUUACAAUCCCAUCCACACAUUCUACCGUUCUUAAAGAAUUAAAAUGGGCUUAGUUAGCCGUCUCUACAUGGGCCUUUUGGAGGCCGAUAACAAGGGAGUUAAGCCCAAUUAAUCUUCAAAAUUAUCGGUAAACCGUGCAACUUCUUCUUCUUCUCUUGUUCUCCAGUAGCUUCCUUCAUUCAUUCGGUCCCGGCAAAGAAGACAUAGAGGAGAUGGAGAAACCGAGGAUGGCGAUCGUGGCCUUGAGUCUACUCGCCUUGUUGGGUUUAUCGGCGGCAAUCGAGUCACCCCAGUACUCGGUCGUCCACGAAGAAUCCGAUUUUGAGAUCAGAUUGUACAGAGAAUCCAUAUGGAUGACUGCCCAUGUCGAUGAACUUUCCUUCCAGAAAGCCACUUUGCUCGGCUUUCACAGGUAACACAAAAAUUCCUCCCCAGACCCACUUCUUUCAAGUUCCUUGUUCUUGCUGACUAUAAAAUUGGGGAAAACCUUCCAAUUCCCCUGGUUUGCUUAGUUUAGGAUAAGCAGAAAUGAUCAGUCACCCCACUUUCGGUGUUUCGAGCAUCAAGAUAGCUUAUAUACUUGUGAUCUUUUCGAAUUCGGCUCAGUUCAAUUUUUUAUUUUUUUUACUGUGAUUCAGCGAUUCAGUGCUUGGCCAUGUCUGAACUAGUUAACCAGGAGAGUCACCGAGUACAAAAUUAUAUGUACCUACUUAUCGGUAAUACUUCCUGUGUGUGCUUGGAAAUGAAUCAAUGAUAAUACUUCCUGAUCAUUUGACAGGCUGUUCCAGUUCAUCCAAGGAGCCAAUCUGAACUUUUCCAGGGUUCCAAUGACAUCUCCAGUAGUGACCAGCAUAGUUCCGGGGUCCGGUCCAUUCCACUCAUCGUCCUAUUCGGUUCGAUUCUACUUGCCCCUCAAGUUCCAGGACGACCCACCGACCCCUCUCCCGCAGCUGGAGCUGAAACCAUUUGAAUGGGAUGCCCACUGUGUCGCUGUCAGGAAGUUCUCUGGGUAUGCAAAGGAUGAAAACGUCGUGAAAGAAGCUGAGAGGCUCGCUUCAAGCUUGAGCAGGUCGCAAUGGGCUCUUCCAGCAGACGAAAUUACCGGGUAUGCCUAUUCGAUCGCGCAGUAUGACUCCCCUUUUCAUUUCAUCGGGCGUGUUAAUGAAGUGUGGGCUGAUGUUAAAGGCUCUGUUGAGGACGGCUGUGGUUGUUCCAGUGGGCUAGCAGCAACUUACUAAACUAUGGAAGUUACCAUGUUCAGUGGAUAUGUGUUGUAUAUAUAUAUGUAAUGUGGUCUUUUAUCUUACUUUGAUCAGUGUUUAUCUGAUCAAGAUGAGUAGAUUUGUUGUUGCGACUAUAUCAUCGAAUGUUUUCUCUGUGAAUAUAUGCUGCGAUUCUCAUUAGACACGUAUACUGUUGGAAUAAAAAGUGCAGAAAAGCUCGCAUAUGAACCAGGGAGAACAAAUCUGAACCAAUCGGUUUCACAAUUUGUGUUUAAAGAUUUUAAUAUCUUGUUACCCAAGAAUCAAUUCUUUGGAUAGAUGAUCAUCCCCUCACUAUUGUAAUUGUACCAAUACUUGAAACAACAGUGAACUUAAGUACACAGCGAACAAUUACAUGGCCUUGUUUGAUGCAAUUUUGAAGAGAGGUGAGCGCAUGAAAGUUUUCGCGGAGUUUUUAUGCAGUAAAUUCCGUGAUAAAAAAUUGUUCAGUUUAUUGUAUGGUUUGUCACCACCCCCUAUUUCACUUGUUCCCGUUAGAGAACUGCCUAAUUUGGUAUUUCUCUAUGUGCGGUUGCUACUCCACAUCAUCGGAUUGAUCAGGUGAUGAACUAAAUUCACUGCAUUACUUGAGUUACAGUUUCUCUAAUGAAUGAUUUUAUUUAAAAACACGUUGUAUUACUUCUCCCAAUUUGACCAAAAUUUCGUUUCUUUCUCUAGAAAAUUCUUCAUAAUGUUCUACUUAUGAUAUUGUGCUUCAGGAUUACAUACAAAUUUAUGCUCAAUUUCUCAAGUUUUCUUUUAAUCUUCCAAAUCAAUGGAACAUUUGCAUGGUUUUGAACUGCCUAGGUUUCCGUCAAUUUUAUGCACUAUAUGAACCAUGAUUUACGUCCCCAUAUUGUUUGUUCAUACUCACAUUGGCAUUAUAUGACGACAUAUUAUAGCUCGUAUGAUAUCCCUAAUCACGUGUCGUACUAAUCAAAUUUCAGUAAAGCUAUUGCAAAGUAAACUUUUUCAUAUGGGAGCUAUCUAAACCAACAAAAAUAAAAUGUUAUUAAUUUGUGCUGUUAUUUUUGGAGUAGAAAAUUAAAAAAAAAACAACAUUUUUGGGAGUGGAGAAAAAGGAAAAGAAAAAACAUGUUCCUUCUUCCUCAGCUCUUCGUCUCCUUCAAUCUCUUAUGGGAAGACUUGUUUUUAUUUUAAUCGCUGCUUCUUUUUUACCCUCCCCGGAUCUCCUUCUCCUUGCUUCUUCUUCUGCAUCAUCUUCCUCUUUCCGGAUCUCCUGUUGCACGUGAGACUUCUCCUCCGUCUCCUUCCAUCCUUCUAACGGAUCCUCGCUCUCGCUUCUUCGCACUUUCCAUCUCCUUCCUCUGCCUGAACGCUAGGGUUUCUGCAAAAACUGUUUUCACCAUAAGUUUGGAUAAUUUCUAUACGAUAUAGGCGGUAAAGAUCGUUGCUCAUCUCAGGCGAGUAUUUCCUCCUCUCCCACUCCUUUUGUGAAUUUCAUUAGCUUUGGCUAUCGAUUGAGGAUCGACGGUGUGGCUGGGAAGAGAAUGGAGUAACUUGAAAUAUUCUACGUAGUAGUAUCUAUAAUUGAUGGAUAUCGUGGUGCGAUGGAAGUUUUUCUGUUUCUUGCUUUGCUUUGGUGGGAAGUGCUACACCUAGCAUUGAAUAUGAUCUGGUUUUUUUAUUACGCGACCGUUGUUUUCUUCUUUUGUGCUGCAUGACGCGACCGUUGUUGUUAACACUGUUUUGCUUGUACUAUCCAUCAAUAACUUCGCAGAGGCUUGAAUUGGUGAAUGGAAGUUGGAAGUCUUUUUCUCUUUUAGGAAGUUUGGGGUCUGUUUGUGGUUGGAUUGUGGAUAUAGUUUCCGGUAGUGAUGCAGACUAAGUUCUAGCUACAAGCGAGGCUGCUUUGAUAAUUGAUACUGGAUGCUCUGGUAUUGCAUGAGUCAUUCUCUAGCCUACUUCCUGUGUCCUCUUUCAGCUGCACUACUGCUUAAUUGUUCACUAAGUUGCCCUUUAUACAAUAUUUGUGGUAUGGCAUGCCCUCUUUGUUUAUUAUGUAAGCACUGCUUCAUUAUUUGGUCUAACUUCGGUAUCUCUUGCUUACUUGGUUCUUCUGCUGGUUCUUGAUGUAUAGUGGUUGCAUAUUUUUUUCAUCUCAACAGUUCCUCUUUUGUUAGUUGGUCAUGUCUAUUUCUCGAAAGACUUUUUUUUUUACAGAACUUAAUCCCAUUUUUCUAGGGCGUUGACAGAAAUGUAUGAUGGAUAUUGGCGAUAAGCAAAAAGUGACGCAAAUGUGUGUGUUUCUUUGUUGUGUAGGUAUCUUUAGUGCUUUUGGAUGACCGUGCUACCACAAUACAAUCAUGGCAUCCAGUACGUUGACCGGAGACCGGAGGUAUAUAGCCAUCUGUUUCUUUUUGGUUUGCAUUUGUGAAGAUACAUUUAUCCACAUACUUACGCCUAAGUUAUAUUAGAUAUGUUCUUUUCUAUGCUAAUAUGUAAUUGGAUGACCACUUGUAUCUUGUCACAAACUCAUGGGACUUGGUUGUAGAUUUUCAACAAGAAGAAGUGGUAUGACUGUUUUAGGGAAAGUGGCUGUACCAAAGCCAAUUAAUUUGCCCAGUCAGAGGUAUUUACAAUGACUCUUGCUCUAAUUCUUUCUGAAAUUGCAUGUUGCCUAUCUAAUGUUUUAAUCACAUGUUUCAUAUCUAAUGUUUAAAGGUUGGAAAAUCAUGGCGUCGACCCAAAUGUUGAAAUUGUUCCCAAGUGAGUAGAACGGUUUUAGCAGUCUUGCCUCUUGUCUGACUUGUUAUGUUACUUCCCUUUUGUUACUCUAUAGGACUAUUAUUUUUGGCAUCCUUGCACUCGUUUUUUCAAGUAUGGCAUCUUGCUUUGAUCCUGCAUUAAGAGGUGAUAUUUUAUGACACUUAUUAGGGGGACACAUAGUUGGGGUAGUAAGUCAUCCUCAUCCUCAUCAAACGCAUGGGGUUCUUCUACACUGUCUCCGUCUGAUGGUGGCACUGGUUCCCCUAGCUAUCUCAGUGGCCGUCCUUCAUCUGGUGGAAGUGGCACAAGGCCAUCAACUGCAGGGAGUGAUAGGGGCAAUGAACCAAUUGCUAAUGCGUGGAAUUCAAACUCUAGGCCAUCAUCUGCCUCAGGUUCAGUGACGUCAAAUCGGGCAUCACUUGGUUCGUCCCGUCCUCGUAGUGCUGAAACAAGGCCUGGUAGCUCUCAGUUAUCUCGGUUUGCAGAGCCUUUGUCUGAUAAUUCAGUACCAUGGGGUUCACUUGGGACAGCUGAACGAUUGGUAUGUUUUUAAAUAUAAUCAAUUGAUGGGAUUUCCAUCCUGUUUUCAUGUCUGCAGUUCACCAGCAUUUUAACUAUCUCUCGCCUGUGUUUGCUACUCAUUGCUGUUCUGGUAUACUUUGUCCCGACAGUGAUACAAGUCUGGGCAUAGUAUGUGAUUUUCCUAUUCAUUCCACUUAAAUAUUCGAAAACAGCAUUGGAAGUUGAAAUUUUAUUUUUUUCAGUAGGUAGUAUCACUGUUCACCAUAUGGCAUACAGUCUUGUUCUCAUGUCGAAGGCAGUAACCUGUGUACUCUUUUGGAGUUUAUACUUUAUGUACUUAUAAUGGAACACAAAAGAGUGUAGGGAGAGGAAUUUCAUAUUCGUAGCGACUAGUGAUGCCUAUUAAUCUGAAUAUAAGUUCCUCCAUGCUUUUUUCAACCAUAAAUGAGUAUGACAAGAUACGGGCUUCCUCCUUCAUUCUUUUUCUGGGCCUAUUAUUCCUCUUCAAACCUGAUGACUGUGCAAUUACCUUCGUCAAAUACAGGGGGUUCCAUCUUCGAAAAAUAAUGGAUUUUCACUCACUUCUGGUGAUUUCCCGACUCUUGGCUCAGAAAAGGAAGAUUUUGAGAAGAACACAGAUCUACCAGGUUUUUUUUUGGCUCAGCCAUUGUUUGUGUUAGUGCUUUGAACAGCUGCCAGUUGGGACUUUGUGCUUGAUUGUUGUGGUCUCUUUGUGAUACUGGUAAAUCUACUCUUACUGUGUUUUGAGAUAUGCUUAUAGUUUGGACCACAUCUAAUACCUGUUUAGUACUUUAGUUUAGGUAAGACAAUCAGUUACAAAUGUUUUUCUGCCAUUUUAAGCAGAUGAAAAGUCCUUUGGUUUUUAGUUCAAGUAGGUAACUGCUGGUAUGCAAGGGCAGCCUGUGGAUUAACAUUUUUUUGGGCCAUUUGCAUUGCGAUCUCUUAUUUAUUUGGAUGUUUUGCUGGUUAAUUGAUUUUUUCCAAGAAUUUACCAUCACCAUCUUGGAUGAUAUUACCUAACGCACUUCUUUUGAACCUACGGUCAGUGAUGUUUGACUCCUCGGAUUUUUGGUUAGACUUGUGUUGUCAUUUCUUUUUAUAAUGGGCUAUUUAUUUGCAGAGCAUGGUUAUCGUCGUGAUUCGCCCUCUGAUGGAGCACCAAUGGAAGAGACAAGAGCUGAUGUUGUAGGUUUGUGCUCCACGCUUAACACCUCUUGUACUCACGGCUGUUCCUGAAGAAAAGUACACAUGGCUCCUGAUUGGGAGAUUGUAAUAUUGGUUUUAUGAAAUAAGUAUUUGAUUUCUUUAUCAGGUGAGGAUUAUGGACCUGUGGAUGUGAAGAGUGACAAUGCAAAUGCUUGGAGAAGAGAGGACUCCUUUUAUGUAAAAGAAGGAGUUAGGCCCAAUGCUGAGAAAUGGCAUCCUGAUCCUCAAUCAUAUCCUAAUGCAACUAUGCCUCAACAUUUUGAUGCUUGGCAUGGCCGGCCUGUAAAUAAUCAUCCAGGUGGUGUUUGGUAUAGGGGUCCUCCAGUCGGUCCACCAUUUGGGGCUCCAGUUGGGCCUGGUGGAUAUCCAAUGGAGCCGUUUCCUUAUUACCGGCCUCAGAUUCACCCUGGUGCACAGCCAGGGCCUCCGCCAUCUGCUGGACCAAGAGGGCCUCAUCCAAAACAUGGUGAUGUCUUCAGACCCCCAAUGCAUGAUGGCUAUCUUCGCCCUGGCAUGACGAUGAGACCUGGAUUUUAUCCCGCACCCGUUCCUUACGAUGGAUAUUAUGGUCCUCCAAUGCCAUACAACAAUGUUAGUGAGCGAGAUGUUCCUUAUAUGGGAAUGGCUGUAGGUCCUGCUGCAUAUACCAGAUAUCCAAAUCAAAAUUCUCAUGAGUCUGGCAAUCCCCAUGGAAGAUCGACUGGGUUUGGUUCUAAUGCUAAAGGAUUGGUUUCAGAACAAAUGGAAUCAGGCCAUCCCCAUGACCCUCAAGGCCCGUAUAAAGUUCUUCUUAAGCAACGUGAUGGGUGGGAGGGAAAAAAUGGAGCACAGAUGUGGGAUGGUGACAAGGCAGCCAAUGCCGUGCAUAUUGGGAAGGGAGACCAGUCAAGAAAGUCAAGUUUGGAGAAUGGAUGGAGAACCGAUAAUCUAAAGAGAACUGAAGAUGUUGGAACACGAAGACCGCUUUCUGAGGGACAUUCUUGCACUGUUGACAAUAUAAGUGGUGCUCCAGUCAAACUGAAAUCUGCCGGACAUGGAGGAAAUUCAUAUACACUUGAUUGUUCUGUUGAUAAAGUAUCAGAGCAUGCAGAAGACCGAGAUUCAAUAUCAGAAUCAUUAUCAUUUUCUAGAGACCCCAGUCUUAUUAAGAAAAUUGAAGGGUUGAACGCAAAGGCUCGCGCUUCUGAUAUGCAUGAUGCGAAUGAUAAAAAACAUGAAAGAAUCAGGACGAAUCAUCCUGUAAAUGAAACCACAAGUGUUUCUGUUUCUACGGAACGUGUAUUGGCUCAAGGACUCUCUGCCGAUUCCAAUGAUCAGAGUUCUGGUAGAGAUAAAAGUCUUGACUUGACAAUGACUAGUGGAGCUGCUAUGGCAAGGUGUGGUUUGUGAUUCAAUUCUUACUGCUUCUACUACCUUCGUUAAGAAAACUAAUGUACAGAUGCAACAGGAGACCGACUCAGGCUGUGCAGAUCAGAUCUGAUCAUCGUAAAGGAAGAACUAAUGCUCAGGAUAUUGAUGCUUGGAAGCCAAGACUUCAUGUUGAAGAAUCACAUGAUGGUGUUUCAAGUGCACAUGUAAGUUCGGUUCUGCAGGGGCAAGAUUUGUCUACUGAGGCCGCCGAGAAGUCUGUCCCACAUCUAGGCAACGAUGAGGAGUCAAUGCCACAGGCAUCUGAACCAAUUGAUAGUCAGGCACAGGUAGUCUUCCUUUGUUAUCUGUUUAUGUUUCCUUGUAUGCUUCCUUUUUAUUAGACAUUCAGUAUAGGCUUAUUUAAUGUCUUUACUCUCAGCGAGCUAAGAUGAGAGAGCUAGCUCGACAGCGACUCAAGCAAAGAGAGAAAGAAGAAGAAGAGCGAACAAGAGAACAGAAGGCCAAGGCUCUUGCAAAGCUAGAAGAGUUGAACAGGCGGAUGCAAGCUGGGGAAAGUUCAUCUAAGAAGCAUGAAGCCAUGCCAAGUAGUAAUUUGUUGAAUAAGCCAGAGUUGCUGAAUUCUGUGCAACCACCUGUCGUUGUCAAUGCAUCUACAGAUAAUUCUAUCAUCGCUUCCGACUCAGUUGCAGUUACACAUACUAAUGACAGAACUAUCAACAGAGUUGAAAUACCUACCAUUCUGUCUAAAGAGGUCAAGAAUGUUACUGAAGCACCUGUCAUUAUGCAUGAUCCAUCUAAUUCACUGAAUCUGGAUUCUGGUGCAGCUCAUUGUGAUGAUGUGUUUAAUGAUGUUGCACAUGAUUAUGAAGAAAAGGCUUCGAAGCAAAAGCGAAUGGCCUAUAGGCCAAAGCAGAAUAGUUCCAGCGACAAGGUUGCAACUGGAGCAUCAAAAAGUGAUACUGACACAAUUCUUAAUGCGUCUCUUCCUCCUCAGAGUGCUGCUCAUGAUACUGCUUCAAACCCUGUCAGCCCAAGUGCUACAGCCGAGGUUUCAGCACAUCCUAGGAGAAAAAAUAGGAGUACAAGAAACAAGCAGAGAGUGGAGGAGACAUCGUCAACUGCAGUAUUGCCAAUUGCGGCUUUCAAGAAUACUCCUUCAGAAGCUUCAAAUGACGGUGUCAAACCAAAAACUCCAGAAUCUCUUACAGUUGUUACUUCAGUGCAGCCUGUCCGUGAUUGCAAAGGUGCAAUUCAGCAUUCGGAGCAACAUCCAACAUCUCCGAAUGAAGAUGGCCAGAUCAAAGUAAAUAACCAGUGGAAACCACAACAUUCUCGAAAGAUGCCAAGGAAUUCGCAGGGUAAUAAAGCAAUGGAUAAAUUCCAUGGAAAUGAUACUGUUGUCUGGGCUCCAGUACGGAUGAACAUUAAACCUGAAGGUGCUGAUGAAGGCAGUAAGAAAAGUGCAGUGGAUGUUGCUAGUCUACCUGUAAAGAGCGAUCAGCUGGUGCAUAAUAAUACAAAGAACAAGAGAGCUGAAAUGGAGAGAUAUGUUCCGAAGCCAGUAGCCAAAGAAAUGGCUCAGCAGGGAAAUACUCACCAUUCUGUGGCUUCUUCAACUGUCCAGAUACCCUCAGAUGAAACUGUUAGAAAAUCUGAACCUGUUCCUUUGGCGCCAGAAAGUUCACAAACCACCUUCACCCUUAAGUUUGGAUCCUUUGCCGAGUCUGAGAAUGUGGACGCCAAACAGAGCAAGUCUGGGAAAGUACAUGGGUCGUGGCAUGAACGAUCUUCUGCAGAAAUACAGACUUCUAGUUCAAAUCUGGAUGGGGAUUCGCAGAAGCCAAUCAAGUGUCAGCAAAUUCAGAAGUCAGACACAGGUUCAAUCAAAGAGCAAUCAGGACAAAAUGAUGAAUGGUCAGAUGGAUGGACCAUGCCUGAGAAUCCUGAUACAGCACCAGCAUUUCCUAGUGUAAAAGAUCAGGGAGGUACAUCAAGAGGAAGGCGUCAGCCGCACAAGGGGCAGAGAGGACACAACUACGACAUUGUUGAGAGGAAAACUGGUAAUGGGGCCAAUGAAAAGGUUAAUACCGUUUCUUCCGCUGUGGAGCCGCACCAACCUGCUGCAAUGCUGACAUCAAAAGAAUACUCUGGUGUUGGAGAACGAUCUACAUCCCAAUGGCAACCUAAGUCUCAGUCAACUUCUGCUACUGGCCAACGGGGAAUCAGGCCCAAUGCUGCUCCGGAAGCUAGCAGUAGGCCAAAUAGAAGGAGUUUGGCGUCUGUGCCGCCUCAAACACAGGAGGUAGCUGGAGGGUCAACCGAACAGUACCCGGAUCAAUCUGCCUGUAACCCUGCAGAGGGAAAUUAUGUUGAAGACUUCAAUCAAGGUGCUAGGAGGGAGAGGAAGAUGACUUCUCACAAAGGUCAUGCCCGUAACCCUGCAGAGGCAGCUUAUGCUGCAAAUCCAGAUAACCGUAAUGAACAAUACCAAAACUACUCGUCAGGGUAUCGAAGGGGCGGAAACCAGAAUAAUCAGGUCAACAGGGAUCAAGAGGCUCGUGGGGAGUGGAGUCGAAGCGAGAAAGAUAACAAGCACCAUAAUGUAGCAGCAGGAAACAGGGAAAGGCAGAGACAAGGUACACAUUAUGAGUACCAGCCGGUUGGCAAUAAAAACAAGGGAAAUAACUUUGAGCCUUCAAGAGAUGGAUCUCAAACUUCAGGUCCAAGGUUUAGGGAAAGAGUGCAGAACCAUCCAAGGCCUGGCGAUUUUCAUGGACGUCAAACCAGCAGCAUGCGGGUAGAUACUACUACUACUACUACUACUACUACUAAUUUUGAUUAGAAGGGUUGUUGUUAAUGACAUGGAGCCUCCUCCUUAGUGACUGGCCUCACACGUAUCCGAGCAAGGCAGGAUCUCUGCUUCAAUUACAACUAAUUACUCAGACUUGAGUUAACCGAGGUAGUUUGAAGCGGUUUGAUGAUGAUUCCUUGAUGCUGAUUUGUUUGGUUCUCUCUUGUUUCUUUCAUUCAAGUAAGUGGGUCGUGUGAGUUGAGAACUAGUAAUACCUCAGUAGCAGUAUGGGACCUCUGGGAAUAAUGGUGUUUUGAGGAGGACUCUGUGUAUUCACAAUUCAGUGCUCUCUUUUCAGUUUGUCUAUGUUGUUUGUUAGCUGUUAAGACUUAAGUAUGACAAUGGAACCUUUCCAAAGGAAUGAAGCAAGCAGGAAGGAGGAGCUCAAGCAUCGGCUUCUCGCUUUUGCUUACCAGUAAUGCCGUAUGCAGGUAGGUUUUAUUAAGGUGUUUAUGUUAUGUAGCAAUUUCGACCUUCCUUUUGGUUAUGUUGUCCUUGCCAUUCUCUUUAUCCAUGGCAUCGAUCGAACAUCAUCGAUACUUUAAUGUGUAAUGAAUUGUCCACAGAAAAAUCUCACCAUCUUGCCCCCUUUUUCUAUCCCGAUAAGAGCCAUAGGUCCAAAAGCAUGUUAGUACGUACAUCCGAUCCAAUGAUUAGGAAGAGUACUCAGAGAAGUGUUGCGUUAGGAACAACAUAGUUCUUCUGAGAAGUGAACAAAAUUGAAAAGUGAUGAGCAAUAUUUGCGAUAUAUGCAUCCCAAGCCGUGCGAUUUGAAGGGCCUAGGGAUAGAGAUUUCCAUUGGGGAUUCUGAGAAGAGGGAUGCUAUCGGAGAAGAUAGUGAUGGGACAUUUAGUUUCAACAAUUUAGAAUGCGUCGCAACUCUAACGAUGAUCAGCCAUCCAAAACACUAACGGUUUUGAUAGGAGUGGACGCGGCGCAAUCCAGAUUGGGGGUGCAGUCUUGGCUGUGUUAUUGUCAAUUUGGUAAUUUGAGUUGAAUUUUGACUAAAUUUGUUAUUUCAUAUUAAAUUGUGUAUGCUAAUAUCAAAAUAAAAAGUGAAUGUAGCUACUAAUUAGUAGUUCAAAUUUAAGGGUAUGAAUAUGGUUAUGAAUCUGAAAUGACUAAACUACCCUCCGAAUAUCAGCCAUCUUAUAUUUACAUAUAAUUCUUUUUUUAUAUAAUUUAUUUUGAUUUAAAAUUUUGUCGGCAUUAGAAGUCGGCCACCUCUCCAAUUCACCCAAACGUGAAACACCUUCUCCACCGCUAAAUUAAAAUUAAAAUUAAAAGAAAAACCACCUGUAUUUAACUUUUCCAAUUCCAGAGAGACGAUUUAAAUAUAAAAGCCAGCAACAGUUUCGCAGCUCCUUUUCCUUCUCUUUUCCUUUUAAUCAUCCUUCUUCGUCGUCAACUUUGACAUAUCUCUUUAUCCACUCUUCUUAUCGGAAAUUUCAGCUCUCCUUUCCCCUGGCUUUACCCCCAAUCCCUUCCCCGUAUAUAACAACAACAGCAAAAAAGCCGCUUUCCGUCUCCAUUGCCGUCUGUUUACUUCCUUCGUUUUCUGCCCCCAGAAGGAAAGCUCCGAACGAAAGGCUACCUGUCUUUUUUUAGGGCUUUUCUUGAAAGGGGGCGGAGGCUUCUUUCCAGGUGAUGAAUCCUAGUUGCUAAGGUUUAUUCCCUAGCUCAUUUUCGUCUUCUGCUUUGCUCUGAUUUCGAUACAUGCGUUUUGCCUUGAAUUAGGGUUUCGCCUGAUUGAUUGUGGGGUAAAUUAGGUCUUCUCGUGGUUCUGGGAACUGGAUGGGAACUAUUUUGGGGAUAGAUAGUUGGGGAAAAGUUGAGUAGUAAUUCUGGUGACGGCCCGAUAAGUCUUUUAUAUGUUUUGACGCGAUGGUGACGACUUGUUGGCCUCUCUGAUUCAGGAAACAUGAUGAUGAACAUUUGUACUCGUUUCUGUAGGAUUGUAGCGCCUAGUGAUUUCCCCUGUGUUUUAUCUUAUAUGCUGCUGACUUGCAAGCUCUGCUAUUUCAUUAGGCUUCAUCGGGUAAAUGUGUUGGCGCUUUAAGUGUGAGCAGAAUGGCUUUGGCGACAAAUCAGAUGCGGGUAAGUUUUUAAAUGAAGGCAGACUCAUAUUUCCAGCUAGUUGAUUCUUCUUCAAAAUGGAAAUUCAUGCAUGAGCUGAACCCAGUUUGUAAAUGUCUAUUUUGUGUUUUUUAUAAAAACCAGCUAGAUACGUAGCUUCAUUCAGGUUCGCCUCUGAAGGAGUUGUGUCUUUUGAAAGGUUGGCUUUAAAAUCUCAAUUGUUCAGUUUUGCUUUUGUUCUCUACCAGGGUUCAUAUGUAACAGUUCCCUCGAGACCUUCAUCAUGGACCAAAGGUGUUAUACUAAAGCAGCAUAUCACAUCAAUUCACAUGGUUGGGAGAUUAGAUAGGCGUUCUUCUUUGAAGUGUCAUUUUCGAUCAAGGUAGUCACGGUUUAUUAGUUGUGUGGCAAAUUCUUGCCUAACUUGUCCAAUCUGUUUAUUUGUAAAUCUGUCUUGUAAUUUUAAAAACAUAUCUGUUAAGCAGAAUAGUUUUCACAGUGUAGGGGCUGGCGUUCAUGGGCUCAAAGCAAGACUUCUACGUGUUUCAUCUUUUCAAGGUAGCCCGAAGAAUGAUGAUGCGAGUGACAGAUCAUGCGGAUCCAAAAAAGGUUCAAAGAGUUGUGGUGAGACCCUUAGAGAGCUUCCCAAGGCGCAAAGUUUACCAAUUUCAUGCAGUUCUGAACCAAGUGAAGGGCUCGGAGGAUCUCCUGCUAUUCAUAGAUUAUUCAAGAACUGGUUAAACAUGCUGCAGUCACAUUCAUCAUCAAAUCAAGUGGCGGAUGGUGUUCUAGGGGGACCGGGUGGUCAACCAGAAGAAGUAGCAGCUGAAACUCAAAAUGUCGCUUUAGAGACACAGCCACGUAUCAUUCUGCUGGAUGUUUUCCAUCACUUUUGGCAGUUGAGUGCGACAAUAAAGAUACCGAUACUAAUAUUGUGAGUAUAUUACUUUUGCAAGGUGUUUUUAUCAAUGUGAUAUAUUUUCCUUCAGUUUUAUUCAGUGGUUGUGGAUUGUGAUUCAAAUGAUAUAAUUAUGGAAACAAAAGCUCUAGGCAUGAUUGGAUUAGAAACAUAGUCACAUUUUGAUUUAUCUAAGAUGUGCUUUGGCAAGUACUGACUGGGUUUUCAUGUAUUUGCAGUAUUCCUUUGUAUUUUGCGAUCAACAAGACUUAUGGCGCUGAAGUGACAAAGGAGUUGACUCCUUUGUGGAUUUUGGGACCUCUUGUCGUUGCCCUCUACAUCAAGCUGAUGCAGGGUAUUUCGGCACUCUACUCCUUCAGCUUCAAGCAGACCGUCCGAAUAGUGAAGAAUUUACCUGCUUACUACAAAGUAUCACAUAGCUACAUUGCAGAAGGGAAGCUGAAGCAAGAGAUCGAGACUCGCGUUAUACAACCCAUUGUGAAGAUCAGAGACCAGGACCAUAAACAAAUGGUAAUGGAAGUAAUGGCUAGACUGAAGGAAUGGUUUAUGGAGAAGUACAUCGACUUUAUCGAAGAUAUAUGGCCUCAUUACUGUAGAACAGUUAGGUUCUUGAAGAAGAUGAACUUUAUAUGAAGUUUGAUGGUAGACUGUCGUUGGGCGACAAUGAAAGCUUUCGAAGCUGGGCGUUUGAUGCGGACCAUGUUUUUUUUUUGGAAAAAUGAGAGCUUCUGGAACGGGACAACAGUACGUUUCUGGGGUGGCGAUUCGUCGUCCCAAAGGAUCUUCCAUCAUAUACAGAUAGGGUCUUUUCCAGAAAUAGUGUGUAUGGAUAUUCAAGUUUCUGUCAUUGCACCUCUUCUGUAACGUUGGUCCUUUUGAGAGUUCCAUGAGACCAUGGAACUAUUGUUUUGAACAGCGUUUUUGUUGCUUCGACUAGACUUUAUUCUUUUUUCCAUUACAAGUUACACCCUUAUUUCUAUUCUGUAGUGACAUCAAAUUUAACAGUUCAAUUUAAGCAAUUUGCCCAUUUGCUGGCUUGAUUAUUGCAUUCUGUCCUGGAUAUCCUCACAUUUUGAAAGACAUGUUAUCUCAAAUUUCGUUCUGUCAGGGCCCUAGCAAAUUGUGUCAGCGUUGUAGUUUUGUAAUUUUGCAAAGGUGAACGAGAUGUUGAAGUUAUUGAUCUGUGGUCGACGAGCAAGUUGUAAGGAUGCGCUGACAUAAAAACCAGCUGCGCUAACAUAAGAACCAGCAAGUUUAUGCAAGUCCAGAACUGGUAAUUUGGCCUUUGAGAUGAAUUACAGUCAAUGGGAGAAACUAUUUUGAACCCAAUGGACCAGGCAAACUCACUAGACACAGGACGGAAAACAUGAACCAUCAAAUGUGCUGCAGAAUUUGUUUCACGGGACACAAGACACCAUCCUCGUAGCUCGAUUUCCGCCUCCACUUCGUGAAUAUCGAUGCAAUCUCCCUUUUUGACAAUAAAUCCACCGAACUCUUACAAUCCGAUCCCACAAUAAUCGGCUCCAACCGUUGAUUGAUUGCUUUCCUGAGGCCGAAUAAGAUGGAUGGCUUUUCCUUUGGCAGUAGUUGCCGCCAAUUCACAGCUUCUGAUUUCGCUGCUGCACAAACAACAUUCCGUUCCAGUCUCGAAUUACACAUCCAAGACCUGUCUCGUUUCAAUGAUAAUGGGUUGGAAACCUUUCAACACAUCGUCUGAAGCUACAGGUUGCAGUGUGUUAUGCUGUGAUAACAAAGCUUUCAACUACACCACAUCAUCUGUUGAAUAGAUGGGUGAGUUGUUUAUAUUUUUUGUAGGCUGGUAGUUGUUUGCCGAGUUCAUUAACAAGAACUUGUAAUCCAAGUGGAGGCAUUAGAGUUAUGGGAUAAUGGACAUCUCAGAUGGUUGGGCUCUGGUUUCGGCGAAAGUCUGGCCCGCCCGUUCCAAGUCUGAAGUUGGGCCUGGGCGUCUCAUUGAAAAUCGAGGCGGCUUGGUCCAUAGAGUAGAGGGCAAAGCGUGAGGCUGGAUUCACAGAGCAGCGAGCACCUCUCGCUUUCGGCAGUGGGAGGAUUACGGGCCGUGCCUGCCAAGUCCACAUGGCCAGAUGGGCUCUCCUAACUGGACCAUAACUUUUUUUAUUUUUUAAAGGUCAUUUGGAAUAUGUUCGACUAAUAUAUUUCUAAUAUGAAUAUGUGCAGUGGAUGAUAAUUAACUAGAAAAUUUAUUUUGGCAUUUGGUCUAUGAUUCUC
rnacentral:lncRNA from 1 species